UAUCCUGGCUCAGGAUGAACGCUGGCGGCAUGCCUAACACAUGCAAGUCGAACGGGGUUUAUAUGACAGAACUCUCCGGAGGGAAGAUAUAUAAACCUAGUGGCGGACGGGUGAGUAACGCGUGGGCAACCUGCCCUGUACCGGGGGACAACAGCCAGAAAUGGCUGCUAAUACCGCAUAAGCCUGCUGUGCCGCAUGGCACAGCAGGGAAAACCACGGUGGUACAGGAUGGGCCCGCGUCUGAUUAGUUAGUUGGCAGGGUAACGGCCUACCAAGACAACGAUCAGUAGCCGGCUUGAGAGAGUGGACGGCCACAUUGGGACUGAGACACGGCCCAGACUCCUGGCGGGAGGCAGCAGGUGGGGAAUAUUGCACAAUGGGGGAACCCUGAUGCAGCAAUGCCGCGUGGGUGAAGAAGCACUCCGGUGCGUAAAGCCCUGUCAGCAGGGAAGAAAAUGACAGUACCUGGACAAGAAGCCCCGGCUAACUACGUG
rnacentral:rRNA from 1 species